CGAAGCCCACGUCCUUCCGGGGACGCGCGCGCCGGUGCGGAUGCGUGCGUGAGCGUGCGCGCCUCCGCCGCCUCUGCCGGUGCUGCUUCCGCGCCCUCUGCCGCUGCCCCCGCCGCCGCCGCCGCCUCUGCCUCUGCCUCUGCCCGGGGUCCCUGAGGCGCAGCUCCGGCUGAGGAGCGCGCCGGCCGGCUGCCCACCAGCGUCGCGGAGCAGAGCGGGCGGGCGGACGGGCGCGCGGACAGACUAACCUACCAUGGCCGACCAGCGACAGCGCUCACUCUCUACCUCCGGGGAAUCGCUGUACCAUGUUCUGGGGCUGGACAAGAACGCAACCUCAGACGACAUUAAAAAGUCCUACAGGAAACUGGCCCUGAAAUAUCACCCGGACAAAAACCCUGACAACCCAGAGGCUGCGGACAAGUUCAAGGAGAUCAACAACGCACACACCAUCCUCACGGACGCCACGAAGAGGAACAUCUACGACAAGUACGGCUCGCUGGGGCUGUACGUGGCCGAGCAGUUUGGGGAGGAGAACGUCAACACCUACUUCGUGCUGUCCAGUUGGUGGGCAAAGGCCCUGUUUGUCUUCUGUGGGCUCCUCACCUGCUGCUACUGCUGCUGCUGCCUGUGCUGCUGCUUCAACUGCUGCUGCGGGAAGUGCAAGCCCAAGGCGCCCGAGGGCGAGGAGACCGAGUUCUACGUGUCCCCCGAGGACCUGGAGGCGCAGCUGCAGUCGGACGAGCGGGGAGGGCACUGACAUGGGGCCAGGAUGUGUGUGGCAGCUGGGCCCGUUGAGGUUGAACGUGGACUCGGAGAGGCCACAGACACACCGAUUGUCAUACAGCCAGCGUCCGCCACAGAGACCACUCAACUCACAGCCGAGUCCCACCCCAGCUACCACACCGACGGGUUCAAUUAAGUUCAGGAGAAGCUACGAUGUGCGGAUCAAUCAGCACCCGGCCACUUCAACCUGAGAAUCAUGAACUGUAGUCACAGAGGUGGGGAGGGAGCCGCUCUGGCCUGGGAAGGGCCCUCCCGCCUCUGUGCCCACCCACCCGCCAACCCCAACACGUGAAGUGCGUAGCAUGCAGUAUUUAAAGCAGUUUAGCUACGGUCGCCGUCUUCUGUUUUUCCUUUCUAAUAGCAUGUGUGGGGUCUGUUCCAUGUCUGUCUGUGUUGUGGACGUGCUGCAGCGAGACCACAUUGAGCACUGGUGGCACCGCCGGGCUGUCAGGUCGCUGCCGUGAGCUGCCACACGGUGUGUCCCCAGCAGGUGGGAGGGGCCGCCCGCUCUGUGCUCCUGCACCGGCAGGUGCUGCCUGCAGAGCUGUGGGUCUGGUCCAGGAGGGGCCGCAGGCAGGGCCUCUCCGCACUGUGACGCCCCCGGGUGUUGGUGGCAAGGACAGUUAGUGCAGCUGCUGCUCACCUUGUGUGCAUGGCCUUGUGGCGGGGCUUUUCCGAGGGUGAGUGUGUUGUGGGGACCGGGAGCUCCUGAUGUGAGACCUCCUCCCGGCCUGGGUCUAGCCCGAGUCCCCUGUGCCAUGAGCUGGGUCGAUGGCCACAACCGGCGUCUCCCCUCUCCCUUCUCUGUGUCAGCCUCCACAUUCCUCCAGGGUGAGUUAGAACUAAUUUGCUGAAACCAGGCCUCUUUGUAACCAUCUUGGAUGUCGAAGCACCACAGUGGCAGCUGAGGCCCAGACAGUCAGUCAGGCUGAGUCCAGGCUGCCGGUGGCGCCUGGCUGCCCAGCCUCCUCUCUGCUUCCCGAACCCCUGCUCACCCUCUUCCUUCAGCUGCUCCUCAGCCAGAGGCAGAGGCGUCAGGGUCCUGGGGAAGGACCCGCUGGAUCAAAGGCACACUCGGCGUGGGAGCCGUGGGCCCGGGGAGCCUGGCGCCCUUGGCUUGUUAGCCAGCAGCCAGACCAGGAUCUCACUGCUGUUGCAGGCAGAGCCUUUUGUGAACUGCUGGAAGUCUGUCCUUCCUUCUGUCCCAGGCCUGGUUGGUGGCGCCCCUGCUUUGGGGGACUGAGGAGGUGUGAGUUACGUUGUACCAAGUAGCAGAUUCCCUACUGGCCCUACACCCAGCUUCUGGAGGCUCAAGGGCCCCACGUGGGCCUGGUGUCUGCAGAAUGAAUGUUCUCGCUGCUCCUGUGUGUCCCAGGAGAGUGAAGGCCAAGCGCGGGAAGGCUGGGCGACAUGGUUCCCUGGCUUGGCCGAACCAGACAUGUUCCUGAAGCCACUGUUCUCCCCUGUGGCCCUUGCUGCCCAUCAGGCUGUGCUAGCUAGAGCUGUGUGUGGGGGCCUGGCCACUUGCAGAACCCUCAGUCCUAGGGCCCCUCCUGGCUGGCCCUCCUGCAGGCCAGCCUAGGACCUGGGCAGCUGCUUGGUCCCAUUGUGGUUUUUUUUGUUCAUUGUAGUGAUCAUGAAGAUGUUCAAUGAGAGGAUAUCCCUGCACUGUGAUGUUGAGUUAGAACUAAUUUGCUAAAACCAGGCCUCUCCUAAAAGGAUAAGAAACUCAUUGUUUGACCCACCAGGGAACGAGGGAGGAGGCGAGAACAGGCCAUCUCCUGUGCCGACCCCGGUUCCGAAGCCCAGGAUUCAGCCGGAGCUCCUGGCCACCUGGGGCUACUUCUGGAAGUGGUUUAGGAAAUGAGGUGCUUUCCCCAGAAUGACCAGGAACCCAGUUUAAAUGUCCACCCAGCCAGGCCCUCCAUGUGUGUCACUGAGUCCCCGCCAGGUGUCUGCCGGUGGCAGCGUGGUGUUGCUCUUCGGGGCAGGGUGGCUUGGGAGGGACAGCAGAGAUCGCGGGGGGGGUGCUGAGGACCGCGGGCGGCCCCGAGGGCAGGCCCCUUCCGAGUGUUCUUGUGGUCGCUUUCAAGACGAAGGUCCCGGUGCAUUUCCCUCUUCUGCCUGGUCUGUUUUUGGUGAGCAGAGUUCUUGCGCCUGGAGAGGCACUGGUUCAAAUGCUAAGUGGGGAGCAACCCUGUGCCUUCCAGAGCUGGGCCAGGUGUGGCCAGUGCUGGUGUCAGACGGCAGGUAGUGUGUGUGGCCCGGGGGUGUUGGGGUCUGUGUCAGAGGAAGCCCAUCCGCCUUGUCAAGGCAGGGCUGGCCUGACGGGCAGCCAGUGCAGUGGGCGCCCUGCAGGAAGCAUGUCUGAUGGCAGCUGCUAGUGUGUAGGCUUCUGCUCUGCUCAGUGACGUGUCUCGCCUUGUCUUCCUUUUGGCUCUGUUCUCGUUUCAAACUGCUUUAGACAUUACCACGUGGGGUGUGAGCCUCCCCCCACUGUCCCAUCCGUCAGUGCAGCCGCACCGCUGGGACCUGGCAGAGGAAGAGGUCAGAGUGGCUGUGGUUAGAGCAGGCGGUGUCUUCAUGCUGUCGGCCUGGGCUUCGCCGCCAGGCUCCUGCCAGGGCCAUCCUCGAUGUUCUAGGGGGCGGUCUGUGCCUGAGGAGCCCACACAGUGCUGCCAGCCACCGGGCUCGGGGCGGGGUGGGGCCUGUCUGUCCUUUCUGGCUGUCAUCUUGGUGCAUCUCCCAGGGGCAGUGGGGAUGGGCGUGAGGCAGGGGGCUGACCUCAUUCCUUCCUCACGUUCUCAGCUGUGAGCCCAUGCGACACAGGACUGACCUGCUUGCUCUGUUAGUUUGGUUGUGAACCUUCCGCCUGUGGAAUUGGCCAAAGCUGCAUCUUUACAGUCCUGACAGGCACGGUUAGUCUGUGCUACAGGUGUGGGCAGUGGUGCAUCUCCGUGUGUGUACAUAUUGUAUAUGUAUAUAUCGCGCAGCAGGACUGGCUGCUGCUGUCCAGUGGCAACGCAGCAAGUACAAUAAAAGUUGGCUCCAACACAGCCUUUUCCUUGACGAGUCCGGGCAGGAGUGGGUCCUGAGAGCUCUUCUGCUGGCUGCUCAGGAAACAGCGCUGAUGCCGCCGUGUACCUAGAGUUUGGGCGGAUGGCUGGGCGUGGUGCCUGAGCCCACUGCAGUGUCAGCUUACCCGGGGUAGGGUGCCCAUCAUGAUCACCUGAACCACGGGUGAAUGUCCCUGUGUGACAUCCGGGAGGUGGUAGAAACCCAUUCCACUUCGGAACAUUUAAAACCAAUUUUCUAAGCAUCAGAUACAAUCAGUGACCAACUGCAUUCUAAACAGUCUCUGUUGGGACCACAAAUUGGGCCGGGGGUUGCGGGGAGGAGCAGGGCCGUGCUGCCCCGCUCCAGGAGGGGUGGCCUGGUCCUAGGCACACCUUCAAUUUUGUUUCCCUGGAAAAUGGACUGAUGUUUCACGCUAAGUGAGGGGAGGCAGUUUGCACUGAAAUAUGUUGACGUUGUUUUUUAAAACUGAAGUGCAAUGCGUGGGAAGCAUUGUCUGCACUGGCUUUGUCCUGUGAGUGGAGCCUGGUGGAGCUGGGGCGCCUCAGGCCCUGACCCCACGGGCACACCCAGGGCCAGGCAGAGGGUUAGGAUGUUUCCCCACAGUGACCUCCAUCUUGUAUGUCUGAAUGUUGACCUAGAAUAAAGAUAACUGUUGUAAAAUAAAUGUUUUCACUGCA